rnacentral:rRNA from 1 species
ACGGUCCGUUCGGGUGCUAGACGAGUGGCGAACGGGUGAGUAAUGCAUCGGAACGUGCCCAAUCGUGGGGGAUAACGUAGCGAAAGUUACGCUAAUACCGCAUAAGCCCUGAGGGGGAAAUGGGGGGACCGCAAGGCCUCACGCGAAUGGAGCGGCCGAUGUCAGAUUAGCUAGUUGGUGGGGUAAAGGCUCACCCAAGGCGACGAUCUGUAGCGGGUCUGAGAGGAUGAUCCGCCACACUGGGACUGAGACACGGCCCAGACUCCUACGGGAGGCAGCAGUGGGGGAAUUUUGGACAAUGGGCGCAAGCCUGAUCCAGCCAUGCCGCGUGCGGGACGAAGGCCUUCGGGUUGUAAACCGCUUCAGCCGGAAAGAAAUCGCUGUUUUAAUACAGACAGUGGAUGACGGUACCGGAAGAAGAAGCACCGGCUAACUACGUG